UAUAUAUAUAUAUAAAGGAAAGGCUGAAUUGGAGGGCACAGACCCGGCAUAUUUACAGCAUUGGCAGGAACCACCUUUAUAUCUCUUAUUAUGUAUACUCUUCUGAUGUCCAUGAACUACCCACGUGUACUUUUUAUCUUUUAUUUAUAAGGUUCCCCCAGCAUUGGUCUGCUCGACCCAGAUCUUCAAUUCUCGUCCCCAGCAGUGGUUUAAAAUUAGUUAAAGAGGUGUUGUAUGAGAUGGGGCAACCGUGAGAGAUGAGCUUUCAUGGACCCAUAACGGGGGA
rnacentral:lncRNA from 1 species